rnacentral:tRNA from 1 species
GCGCUGGUGGUUCAGUGGUAGAAUUCUUGCCUCCCAUGUGGAAGGCCCAGGUUCGAUUCCUGGCAAAUGCG